AAUGUUCUGGAGCAUAUCAAUGGCGUAUGAAACAUUUCGAAGCAUAUCAAUAACAAAUGAAACAUAUCGGAGCUUAUCAAUGGCAUAUGAAAUGUUCCGGAGCAUAUCAUUGGCGUAUGGAACAUUUCGAAGCAUAUCAAUAACAAAUGAAACAUAUCGGAGCUUAUCAAUGGCAUAUAAAAUGUUCCGGAGCAUAUCAAUGGCGUAUGGAACAUUUCGAAGCAUAUCAAUAACAAAUUAAACAUAUCGGGGCUUAUCAAUGGCAUAUGAAAUGUUUCGGAGCAUAUCAAUGGCGUAUGGAACAUUUCGAAGCAUAUCAAUAACAAAUGAAACAUAUCGGAGCUUAUCAAUGGCAUAUGAAAUAUUCCGGAGCAUAUCGACGACAUAUGGAACAUUUCGGAGCAUAUCAAUAUCAAAUACCAAACAGAAGCUCAAACGUCGUCUUUGACGUUGCAUUCAUAUCAUUCUUAUCCAAAGCAUGUACAGAAACACAUAACCAAAGCUCUGGAUAUCAUAUCAAACAUACAGAAGGUGUAGUGGGACCACAGACAGAAUGUGAUUCAUCCAUUUCUGAAUGACCACCAGACAGAAGUCUCCCACGUCUGGGAGCUCCAUCCACCCACGUCUAGGUGAAGUCAGAGGGGGCCGGUAUAGCAUCGCAGGCUCUAUGCAUAACUCCCUUUACCAUUUCUGGCAA
rnacentral:lncRNA from 1 species